CAUGUCAAAAUCGAAGAUUGUGGCAUCCGGUCAACAUUCCGUAGACGUGUCAGCAUCUCGUAAAGGAGAAUUCACCCUGACUUAUGAGACCUCUCCCGAUCAUGUCCCUAUUGUUCAAUAUAUCGUACAGUACUUGCUUAAGGAUGAGGUGGUGGGAGAUGUCAUUAAUCUCGACUUGGAGAAAUGUUUCAAAAACCAGGUUUCUGCUAACU